CAACCCUCGACUUCCCUUUGGGGAAAUCGGCGUUGGGGACCGGCCGUAUACCGCCGGCCCCGAAAUGAAGUGGCGGCCCGUCCGCGGCGACCUCUGCGUAGUAAUCCAACUCGCACCGGAACCCCGACGUGGCCACGCCGUAAAACCCCCGACUUUCUGA
rnacentral:misc_RNA from 1 species